UAACGCGUGAGCAAUCUGCCUUUGGAUGGGGGAUAACAACCGGAAACGGCUGCUAAUACCGCAUAAUGCAAUGGGACCGCAUGGUUCUGCUGCCAAAGAUUUAUUGUCCAAAGAUGAGCUCGCGUCUGAUUAGCCAGUUGGCGGGGUAACGGCCCACCAAAGCGACGAUCAGUAGCCGGACUGAGAGGUUGAACGGCCACAUUGGGACUGAGACACGGCCCAGACUCCUACGGAAGGCAGCAG
rnacentral:rRNA from 1 species